GCGGCGGGGAGAGUGGCGAACGGGUGAGUAACACGGGGGCAAGCUGCGGAGCAUGCUGGGAGAAGGGGUGGAAACGGGGUCUAAUACCGGAUACUGACCCGCUUGGGCAUCCAAGCGGUUCGAAAGCUCCGGCGGUGCAGGAUGAGCCCGCGGCCUAUCAGCUUGUUGGUGAGGUAAUGGCUCACCAAGGCGACGACGGGUAGCCGGCCUGAGAGGGCGACCGGCCACACUGGGACUGAGACACGGCCCAGACUCCUACGGGAGGCAGCAGUGGGGAAUAUUGCACAAUGGGCGAAAGCCUGAUGCAGCGACGCCGCGUGAGGGAUGACGGCCUUCGGGUUGUAAACCUCUUUCAGCAGGGAAGAAGCGAAAGUGACGGUACCUGCAGAAGAAGCGCCGGCUAACUACGUGCCAGCAGCCGCGGUAAUACGUAGGGCGCGAGCGUUGUCCGGAAUUAUUGGGCGUAAAGAGCUCGUAGGCGGCUUGUCACGUCGGUUGUGAAAGCCCGGGGCUUAACCCCGGGUCUGCAGUCGAUACGGGCAGGCUAGAGUUCGGUAGGGGAGAUCGGAAUUCCUGGUGUAGCGGUGAAAUGCGCAGAUAUCAGGAGGAACACCGGUGGCGAAGGCGGAUCUCUUGGCCGAUACUGACGCUGAGGAGCGAAAGCGUGGGUCAGCGAACACGAUUAUAUACCCUGGUAGUCCACGCCGUAAACAGUGCGCACUAGGUGUGGGCGACAUUCCACGUCAUCCGUGCCAUAUCUAACGGAUUAAAUGCCUCCUCCUGGUGUAAU
rnacentral:rRNA from 2 species